rnacentral:rRNA from 1 species
AUGCGUAAGUCCCAAGCGUUACCCGGAAUUAUUGGGUGUAAAGGGUCCGUAGGCGGAUCUAUAAGUCAGAUAUGAAAGACCGGAGCUCAACUCCGCGUUUGUGUUUGAAACUGUAGAUCUAGAAUUAGCGAGAGGUAAGCGGAAUUCUUAGUGUAGGGGUGCAAUCCGUAGAUACUAAGAAGAACACCAAAAGCGAAGGCAGCUUACUGGAACUAUAUUGACGCUGAGGGACGAAAGCGUGGGGAGCGAAGAGAAUUAGAAACCCCGGUAGUCC